rnacentral:rRNA from 1 species
AGAGUUUGAUCAUGGCUCAGAAUCAACGCUGGCGGCGUGCCUAACACAUGCAAGUCGAACGAGAAAGUGGAGCAAUCCAUGAGUAAAGUGGCGACCGGGUGAGUAACACGUGACUAACCUACCUCCGAGUGGGGAAUAACUCCGGGAAACCGGGGCUAAUACCGCAUAACAUCGCAAGAUCAAAGCAGCAAUGCGCUUGGAGAGGGGGUCGCGGCUGAUUAGCUAGUUGGCGGGGUAACGGCCCACCAAGGCGAAGAUCGGUAUCCGGCCUGAGAGGGCGCACGGACACACUGGAACUGAAACACGGUCCAGACUCCUACGGGAGGCAGCAGUGGGGAAUUUUGCGCAAUGGGGGAAACCCUGACGCAGCAACGCCGCGUGGAGGAUGAAGUCCCUUGGGACGUAAACUCCUUUCGACCGGGAAGAUACUGACGGUACCGGAUGAAGAAGCACCGGCUAACUCUGUGCCAGCAGCCGCGGUAAUACAGAGGGUGCGAGCGUUGUUCGGAAUUAUUGGGCGUAAAGGGCGCGUAGGCGGCGCGGUAGGUCACCUGUGAAAUCUCCUGGCUCAACUGGGAGCUUGCAGGCGAAACUGCCGUGCUGGAGUGUGGGAGAGGUGCGUGGAAUUCCUGGUGUAGCGGUGAAAUGCGUAGAUAUCAGGAGGAACACCUGUGGCGAAAGCGGCGCACUGGACCACAACUGACGCUGAGGCGCGAAGGCUAGGGGAGCAAACAGGAUUAGAUACCCCAGUAGUCC